rnacentral:rRNA from 1 species
GGUUAAGCGACUAAGCGUACACGGUGGAUGCCCUGGCAGUCAGAGGCGAUGAAGGACGUGCUAAUCUGCGAAAAGCGUCGGUAAGGUGAUAUGAACCGUUAUAACCGGCGAUGUCCGAAUGGGGAAACCCAGUGCAAUUCGUUGCACUAUCGUUAACUGAAUACAUAGGUUAACGAGGCGAACCGGGGGAACUGAAACAUCUAAGUACCCCGAGGAAAAGAAAUCAACCGAGAUUCCCCCAGUAGCGGCGAGCGAACGGGGAGCAGCCCAGAGUCUGAAUCAGCUUGUGUGUUAGUGGAACGGUCUGGAAAGUCCGACGGUACAGGGUGAUAGUCCCGUACACCAAAAUGCACAGGCUGUGAACUCGAAGAGUAGGGCGGGACACGUGGUAUCCUGUCUGAAUAUGGGGGACCAUCCUCCAAGGCUAAAUACUCCUGACUGACCGAUAGUGAACCAGUACCGUGAGGGAAAGGCGAAAAGAACCCCGGCGAGGGGAGUGAAAAAGAACCUGAAACCGUGUACGUACAAGCAGUGGGAGCACCUUCGGGUGUGACUGCGUACCUUUUGUAUAAUGGGUCAGCGACUUAUAUUCUGUAGCAAGGUUAACCGUAUAGGGGAGCCGCAGGGAAACCGAGUCUUAACUGGGCGUUAAGUUGCAGGGUAUAGACCCGAAACCCGGUGAUCUAGCCAUGGGCAGGUUGAAGGUUGGGUAACACUAACUGGAGGACCGAACCGACUAAUGUUGAAAAAUUAGCGGAUGACUUGUGGCUGGGGGUGAAAGGCCAAUCAAACCGGGAGAUAGCUGGUUCUCCCCGAAAGCUAUUUAGGUAGCGCCUCGUGAACUCAUCUUCGGGGGUAGAGCACUGUUUCGGCUAGGGGGUCAUCCCGACUUACCAACCCGAUGCAAACUACGAAUACCGAAGAAUGUUAUCACGGGAGACACACGGCGGGUGCUAACGUCCGUCGUGAAGAGGGAAACAACCCAGACCGCCAGCUAAGGUCCCAAAGUCAUGGUUAAGUGGGAAACGAUGUGGGAAGGCACAGACAGCCAGGAUGUUGGCUUAGAAGCAGCCAUCAUUUAAAGAAAGCGUAAUAGCUCACUGGUCGAGUCGGCCUGCGCGGAAGAUGUAACGGGGCUAAACCAUGCACCGAAGCUGCGGCAGCGACACUAUGUGUUGUUGGGUAGGGGAGCGUUCUGUAAGCCUGCGAAGGUGACCUGUGAGGGUUGCUGGAGGUAUCAGAAGUGCGAAUGCUGACAUAAGUAACGAUAAAGCGGGUGAAAAGCCCGCUCGCCGGAAGACCAAGGGUUCCUGUCCAACGUUAAUCGGGGCAGGGUGAGUCGACCCCUAAGGCGAGGCCGAAAGGCGUAGUCGAUGGGAAACAGGUUAAUAUUCCUGUACUUGGUGUUACUGCGAAGGGGGGACGGAGAAGGCUAUGUUAGCCGGGCGACGGUUGUCCCGGUUUAAGCAUGUAGGCUGAUUGUCCAGGCAAAUCCGGAUAAUCAAGGCUGAGGUGUGAUGACGAGGUACUACGGUGCUGAAGUAACAAAUGCCCUGCUUCCAGGAAAAGCCUCUAAGCAUCAGGUAACAUCAAAUCGUACCCCAAACCGACACAGGUGGUCAGGUAGAGAAUACCAAGGCGCUUGAGAGAACUCGGGUGAAGGAACUAGGCAAAAUGGUGCCGUAACUUCGGGAGAAGGCACGCUGGUGUGUAGGUGAAGCCCCUGCGGGUGGAGCUGAGACCAGUCGAAGAUACCAGCUGGCUGCAACUGUUUAUUAAAAACACAGCACUGUGCAAACACGAAAGUGGACGUAUACGGUGUGACGCCUGCCCGGUGCCGGAAGGUUAAUUGAUGGGGUUAUCCGUAAGGAGAAGCUCUUGAUCGAAGCCCCGGUAAACGGCGGCCGUAACUAUAACGGUCCUAAGGUAGCGAAAUUCCUUGUCGGGUAAGUUCCGACCUGCACGAAUGGCGUAAUGAUGGCCAGGCUGUCUCCACCCGAGACUCAGUGAAAUUGAACUCGCUGUGAAGAUGCAGUGUACCCGCGGCAAGACGGAAAGACCCCGUGAACCUUUACUAUAGCUUGACACUGAACAUUGAGCCUUGAUGUGUAGGAUAGGUGGGAGGCUUUGAAGCGUGGACGCCAGUCUGCGUGGAGCCAACCUUGAAAUACCACCCUUUAAUGUUUGAUGUUCUAACGUUGGCCCCUGACCGGGGUUGCGGACAGUGUCUGGUGGGUAGUUUGACUGGGGCGGUCUCCUCCCAAAGCGUAACGGAGGAGCACGAAGGUUAGCUAAUCCUGGUCGGACAUCAGGAGGUUAGUGCAAUGGCAUAAGCUAGCUUGACUGCGAGCGUGACGGCGCGAGCAGGUGCGAAAGCAGGUCAUAGUGAUCCGGUGGUUCUGAAUGGAAGGGCCAUCGCUCAACGGAUAAAAGGUACUCCGGGGAUAACAGGCUGAUACCGCCCAAGAGUUCAUAUCGACGGCGGUGUUUGGCACCUCGAUGUCGGCUCAUCACAUCCUGGGGCUGAAGUAGGUCCCAAGGGUAUGGCUGUUCGCCAUUUAAAGUGGUACGCGAGCUGGGUUUAGAACGUCGUGAGACAGUUCGGUCCCUAUCUGCCGUGGGCGCUGGAGAAUUGAGGGGGGCUGCUCCUAGUACGAGAGGACCGGAGUGGACGCAUCACUGGUGUUCGGGUUGUCAUGCCAAUGGCACUGCCCGGUAGCUAAAUGCGGAAGAGAUAAGUGCUGAAAGCAUCUAAGCACGAAACUUGCCCCGAGAUGAGUUCUCCCUGAGACUUUAAGUCUCCUGAAGGAACGUUAAAGACGAUGACGUUGAUAGGCCGGGUGUGUAAGCGCAGCGAUGCGUUGAGCUAACCGGUACUAAUGAACCGUGAGGCUUAACCUU